rnacentral:rRNA from 1 species
AUUGAACGCUGGCGGCAGGCCUAACACAUGCAAGUCGAGCGGAGCGGCGGACGGGCGAGUAAUGCCUAGGAAUCUGACUGGUAGUGGGGGAUAACGUCCGGAAACGGGCGCUAAUACCGCAUACUCUCAGAUGAGCCUAGGUCGGAUGAGCUAGUUGGUGGGGUAAAGGCCUACCAAGGCGACGAACCGUAACUGGUCUGAGAGGAUGAUCAGUCACACUGGAGAGGAGACACGGUCCAGACUCCUACGGGAGGCAGCAGUGGGGAAUAUUGGACAAGGGGCGGAAGCCUGGAACAGCCAUUCCGCGUGUGUGAAGAAGGUCUUCGGAUUGUAAAGCACUUUAAGUUGGGAGGCGUUACCCGCAGAAGAAGCACCGGCUAACUCCGUGCCAGCAGCCGCGGUAAUUC